rnacentral:rRNA from 1 species
CCUACGGGAGGCAGCAGUGAGGAAUAUUGGUCAAUGGACGAGAGUCUGAACCAGCCAAGUAGCGUGAAGGAUGACUGCCCUAUGGGUUGUAAACUUCUUUUAUAUGGGAAUAAAAUGUUCCACGUGUGGGAUUUUGUAUGUACCCUAUGAAUAAGGCUCGGCUAACUCCGUGCCAGCAGCCGCGGUAAUACGGAGGAUCCGAGCGUUAUCCGGAUUUAUUGGGUUUAAUGGGAGCGUAGGUGGAUUGUUAAGUCAGUUGUGAAAGUUUGCGGCUCAACCGUAAAAUUGCAGUUGAAACUGGCAGGCUUGAGUACAGUAGAGGUGGGCGGAAUUCGUGGUGUAGCGGUGAAAUGCUUAGAUAUUACGAAGAACUCCGAUGGCGAAGGCAGCUCACUGGACUGCAACUGACACUGAGGCUCGAAAGUGUGGGUAUCAAACAGGAUUAGAUACCCUAGUAGUC